GGUCAAGUGAAGAAGCGCAUACGGUGGAUGCCUUGGCAGUCAGAGGCGAUGAAAGACGUGGUAGCCUGCGAAAAGCUUCGGGGAGUCGGCAAACAGACUGUGAUCCGGAGAUGUCUGAAUGGGGGAACCCAGCCAUCAUAAGAUGGUUAUCUUGUACUGAAUACAUAGGUGCAAGAGGCGAACCAGGGGAACUGAAACAUCUAAGUACCCUGAGGAAAAGAAAUCAACCGAGAUUCCCUUAGUAGUGGCGAGCGAACGGGGACCAGCCCUUAAGUUGUAUUGAGAUUAGCGGAACGUUCUGGAAAGGACGGCCAUAGUGGGUGAUAGCCCUGUACGCGAAAAUCCCUUUGCAAUGAAAUCGAGUAGGACGGGGCACGAGAAACCUUGUCUGAAUAUGGGGGGACCAUCCUCCAAGGCUAAAUACUACUGACUGACCGAUAGUGAACCAGUACCGUGAGGGAAAGGCGAAAAGAACCGCGGAGAGCGGAGUGAAAUAGAUCCUGAAACCGUAUGCGUACAAGCAGUGGGAGCCCACUUUGUUGGGUGACUGCGUACCUUUUGUAUAAUGGGUCAGCGACUUAUUUUCAGUGGCGAGCUUAACCGAAUAGGGGAGGCGUAGCGAAAGCGAGUCUUAAUAGGGCGUCUAGUCGCUGGGAAUAGACCCGAAACCGGGCGAUCUAUCCAUGGGCAGGUUGAAGGUUGGGUAACACUAACUGGAGGACCGAACCGACUACCGUUGAAAAGUUAGCGGAUGACCUGUGGAUCGGAGUGAAAGGCUAAUCAAGCUCGGAGAUAGCUGGUUCUCCUCGAAAGCUAUUUAGGUAGCGCCUCAUGUAUCACUGUAGGGGGUAGAGCACUGUUUCGGCUAGGGGGUCAUCCCGACUUACCAAACCGAUGCAAACUCCGAAUACCUACAAGUGCCGAGCAUGGGAGACACACGGCGGGUGCUAACGUCCGUCGUGAAAAGGGAAACAACCCAGACCGUCAGCUAAGGUCCCAAAGUCAUGGUUAAGUGGGAAACGAUGUGGGAAGGCUUAGACAGCUAGGAGGUUGGCUUAGAAGCAGCCACCCUUUAAAGAAAGCGUAAUAGCUCACUAGUCGAGUCGGCCUGCGCGGAAGAUGUAACGGGGCUCAAACCAUGCACCGAAGCUACGGGUAUCAUCUUUUGAUGAUGCGGUAGAGGAGCGUUCUGUAAGCCUGUGAAGGUGAGUUGAGAAGCUUGCUGGAGGUAUCAGAAGUGCGAAUGCUGACAUGAGUAACGACAAUGGGUGUGAAAAACACCCACGCCGAAAGACCAAGGUUUCCUGCGCAACGUUAAUCGACGCAGGGUUAGUCGGUCCCUAAGGCGAGGCUGAAAAGCGUAGUCGAUGGAAAACAGGUUAAUAUUCCUGUACUUCUGGUUAUUGCGAUGGAGGGACGGAGAAGGCUAGGCCAGCCUGGCGUUGGUAGUCCAGGUUUAAGGUGGUAGGCUGAGAUCUUAGGUAAAUCCGGGAUCUUAAGGCCGAGAGCUGAUGACGAGUGUUCUUUUAGAACACGAAGUGGUUGAUGCCAUGCUUCCAAGAAAAGCUUCUAAGCUUCAGGUAACCAGGAACCGUACCCCAAACCGACACAGGUGGUUGGGUAGAGAAUACCAAGGCGCUUGAGAGAACUCGGGUGAAGGAACUAGGCAAAAUGGCACCGUAACUUCGGGAGAAGGUGCGCCGGUGGAGGUGAAGCAUUUACUGCGUAAGCCCCUGCCGGUCGAAGAUACCAGGCCGCUGCGACUGUUUAUUAAAAACACAGCACUCUGCAAACACGAAAGUGGACGUAUAGGGUGUGACGCCUGCCCGGUGCCGGAAGGUUAAUUGAUGGGGUUAGCGCAAGCGAAGCUCUUGAUCGAAGCCCCGGUAAACGGCGGCCGUAACUAUAACGGUCCUAAGGUAGCGAAAUUCCUUGUCGGGUAAGUUCCGACCUGCACGAAUGGCGU
rnacentral:rRNA from 1 species